rnacentral:rRNA from 1 species
GCCUAACACAUGCAAGUCGAGCGGAUGAAGGGAGCUUGCUCCUGGAUUCAGCGGCGGACGGGUGAGUAAUGCCUAGGAAUCUGCCUGGUAGUGGGGGAUAACGUCCGGAAACGGGCGCUAAUACCGCAUACGUCCUGAGGGAGAAAGUGGGGGAUCUUCGGACCUCACGCUAUCAGAUGAGCCUAGGUCGGAUUAGCUAGUUGGUGGGGUAAAGGCCUACCAAGGCGACGAUCCGUAACUGGUCUGAGAGGAUGAUCAGUCACACUGGAACUGAGACACGGUCCAGACUCCUACGGGAGGCAGCAGUGGGGAAUAUUGGACAAUGGGCGAAAGCCUGAUCCAGCCAUGCCGCGUGUGUGAAGAAGGUCUUCGGAUUGUAAAGCACUUUAAGUUGGGAGGAAGGGCAGUAAGUUAAUACCUUGCUGUUUUGACGUUACCAACAGAAUAAGCACCGGCUAACUUCGUGCCAGCAGCCGCGGUAAUACGAAGGGUGCAAGCGUUAAUCGGAAUUACUGGGCGUAAAGCGCGCGUAGGUGGUUCAGCAAGUUGGAUGUGAAAUCCCCGGGCUCAACCUGGGAACUGCAUCCAAAACUACUGAGCUAGAGUACGGUAGAGGGUGGUGGAAUUUCCUGUGUAGCGGUGAAAUGCGUAGAUAUAGGAAGGAACACCAGUGGCGAAGGCGACCACCUGGACUGAUACUGACACUGAGGUGCGAAAGCGNNNNGAGCAAACAGGAUUAGAUACCCUGGUAGUCCACGCCGU